GGGGAAUAUUGGACAAUGGGGGAAACCCUGAUCCAGCCAUGCCGCGUGUGUGAAGAAGGCCUUCGGGUUGUAAAGCACUUUCAGUUGGGAGGAAAAGUUUGUGGUUAAUACCCACGAGCCGUGACGUUACCAACAGAAGAAGCACCGGCUAACUCCGUGCCAGCAGCCGCGGUAAUACGGAGGGUGCAAGCGUUAAUCGGAAUUACUGGGCGUAAAGCGCGCGUAGGCGGCUUGUUAAGCGGAAUGUGAAAUCCCCGGGCUCAACCUGGGCACUGCAUUCCGAACUGGCUGGCUAGAGUGUGGUAGAGGAAGGUGGAAUUCCAGGUGUAGCGGUGAAAUGCGUAGAUAUCUGGAGGAACAUCAGUGGCGAAGGCGACCUUCUGGACCAACACUGACGCUGAGGUGCGAAAGCGUGGGGAGCAAAC
rnacentral:rRNA from 1 species